GAUGAACGCUGGCGGCGUGCUUAACACAUGCAAGUCGAACGGGAAUUAUUUUAUUGAAACUUCGGUCGAUAUGAUUUAAUUCUAGUGGCGGACGGGUGAGUAACGCGUGGGUAACCUGCCUUGUACAGGGGGAUAACAGUCAGAAAUGGCUGCUAAUACCGCAUAAGCGCACAGAGCUGCAUGGCUCCGUGUGAAAAACUACGGUGGUAUAAGAUGGACCCGCGUUGGAUUAGCUUGUUGGCAGGGUAACGGCCUACCAAGGCGACGAUCCAUAGCCGGCCUGAGAGGGUGAACGGCCACAUUGGGACUGAGACACGGCCCAGACUCCUACGGGAGGCAGCAGUGGGGAAUAUUGCACAAUGGGGGAAACCCUGAUGCAGCGACGCCGCGUGAAGGAAGAAGUAUCUCGGUAUGUAAACUUCUAUCAGCAGGGAAGAGAUUGACGGUACCUGACUAAGAAGCCCCGGCUAACUACGUG
rnacentral:rRNA from 1 species